rnacentral:lncRNA from 1 species
CUCAAUGGUAAAUAAAUUUCACUGUUGACGCGGCACCACCACUUAGUUCGAAAGUUUCACCAUCAAUACGUUUCAUAUGCUGUGAACUUCAGUUGAUUUUGUGGAAAUUUUAGUUAAACCUGAAAGAUUUUUAAACUCUUUUGGGUUCGGAAAUAGCUCCUCCAUCAGGCAGCAGAAGAUUUACCUAUUUGUUGCCUCCUUUUCAUCAGGGCGGAAGCUACAAUUUUCCCGCUUAGAGUUAACCAAAAUUUGCCUCUCGUUGCAAGCUAGCUAGCUCUUUCUAAACUAAUGAGAAAGGCAACCUGGAUUGCAUUUUGCAAUGAGGAAACACAUUUCUAGCUCAUUUUAGAAAUAAAAUGUGUGCCAUUAGUUUUCCUAUGAAGAAGUUAAAAAUUUUAGUUAAAGUAUUAAAUUAGCAAAUUAAAUUAGUUUCCCCAGGUGCUUUUAUGGAUGAGCUAAAAUCAAAGUUUAGUCCAAAACUUUAAGCAAGAAACAGGGCUUUCUAAACUAGGUCCAGUUUUCGUAUUUGGCGCCAAUUGCAUUUUAGUUCACGAAUGGACUGCUUCAAGCGCUACCGUCGUUUUGUUUACUUAUUCACCCCUAACCUGUAAAUAAUCAUGUCCCAACAGUCCCAACCUUUGACUUUGGGCCGUUUGAAAAGAACUGAACUUUUUACUUUCUCGCUCCUUUUUUUCUUUACAAUUGUAGUUUGAAGGCAAAGGAAUUUCGGUAUUCUACCAAUUGGCAUCCUAGUUGUCCAUAGGAGAGAAGUUUCUGCUUGACUGCUGUAUCAUUCAAGUAUGGGCAACCGCAAAGCAAGAUAUUUCAAAAAGAAAAGAUUCAUCCCCAAUCGUCGCGGAUGCAAAAGGCCGAAAAACAAAUUGGUCAAUAAUGAGCAGCAGCAACCAAAUUCUGAGAAUUCGUCCUUAGACCGAGAAGCAGCAGAGACGCUGAGAGCCACUGAAGAAUUAGAAGAAUCGAAUAGGAGUGAAAAUCAAGGAGAGGUCAGCAAAACAUCUGUCAAAGUGCAUCAAGAAACCGCAUCAGUCAGCACAGAACCGCUUGUUCGAAAAAUGACGAUGGCUCAGUUAACCAAGGAGUUCCCAAAUCUUGCUCGAGUUGCAACUAAAGUAUUUACAAAGCAAGGAUUCUCGUUAAAUAAAACUCCUAAAGUCCCUAAACCUGACAGCGUGCCUUCAAAAGUUCAACCUAGUCACAGCCCUGAGAAAAAUGGGCCAGAUCCCCCAGCAGAAGGCCCAAGCACAGCUCAGUGUUCAGAUGACGCUGAUACAACGGCAGAGUGGUCACAACUAAUGCGGAAGCAACAAGAGGCUGAACAACACCAGUUAACGGUGGAACGUUUCCAUGUAGCAGGCAAUGAUCCAGGGAUAAAGAAAUUGCUGGGCCGCCGCAUUGUAGACAUUCAACAUAUUAUCACAGAGGCUCGAAAGUUAGAGGGACACGAAUGCAGAAUAAAACCAAACGUUGGUUACUUCUCCUUCUCACACGAAGUGCGGUGUGGUCUACAGUCAAUUCUCUGUUUCAAGUGCACUGAAUGUGGAAUGCAGCGUAACAUCCCAACAACAGCUGGGAAAUCAGAUGAAAUAAACUCUGCAGGUGUUAAAGCCAUAACAGCAAUGGGCAAGGGCCAUGAGCCUUACAAACGGUUUUUGAGGACACUUGCCAUUCCAGAGCCUACGUAUGGAACUUUCAAGAAACAUCAGGACAGAUUAAAGCAGGUAUGA